rnacentral:rRNA from 1 species
UAGUAACGGCGAGUGAAGCGGCAACAGCUCAAAUUUGAAAUCUGGCUCUUUUAGAGUCCGAGUUGUAAUUUGCAGAGGGCGCUUUGGCUUUGGCAGCGGUCCAAGUUCCUUGGAACAGGACGUCACAGAGGGUGAGAAUCCCGUACGUGGUCGCUGGCUAUUGCCGUGUAAAGCCCCUUCGACGAGUCGAGUUGUUUGGGAAUGCAGCUCUAAAUGGGAGGUACAUUUCUUCUAAAGCUAAAUAUUGGCCAGAGACCGAUAGCGCACAAGUAGAGUGAUCGAAAGAUGAAAAGCACUUUGGAAAGAGAGUCAAACAGCACGUGAAAUUGUUGAAAGGGAAGCGCUUGCAGCCAGACUUGCUUACAGUUGCUCAUCCGGGUUUUUACCCGGUGCACUCUUCUGUAGGCAGGCCAGCAUCAGUUUGGGCGGUAGGAUAAAGGUCUCUGUCACGUACCUCCUUUCGGGGGAGGCUUAU